AGAGAAGAGCUUCUAUCCCGAUUUUCGCUUUGGUGUCGUUUCAAAAUCCCAUGAAGCUGCAAAAAAAGCUUUUUUAUUUCUAUUUACCUCCAUCGCUUCCUCUUUACUGUUUAAAUUAUUUUCUUUGUUUCUAUCAAGCGGGGUUUUUCUCGUUUUCUUUGACUUGAUGAAUAAUCAAUGGUGGGUAAUGAGGGAUUUCUCUGUGAUGAUCGAAAACGAUGACGAGUCCGAUUCUUUUCCAUUCUUUCAAAUCGUGACGACAAAUCGAGGCAUUUGUCUGAGAGAAAUCCAUCUUCCUUCUUUAUUUUUGGUAUUUAAAAAUAAAAAAUCAUUUUUUAUUUGUAAAUUGAAAGUGCUCGAAGGCAUAAUGAGGAUAAAUUUAUGAACCAUUCUGAUUAUUGUGAUGAUCAAUUACCUCCUACUCAUUCUGAAUGCCUACAAAAAUAUAGAAUUGUCCUUUCCAAUGUUUUUUAUUUUGAUUAUUGAAGUAAAUGUUUUGGGGAAGAUUUUUGUAAGAAAACGCAACUAAGAUUUUGGUUUAGGGUUAAUGAGGAUUACCUGUGAUUUACCUUUCAACCAACUCAGGGCUGAAUUUGAUAUAAUCUGAUCCAAAAGAUUUGAAUUUGAGAUGAAUUUUAUGUUUUUGGAGCAGCGAUGAUUAAAUCAAGUUUAGGGUUAAUGAGGGUUUACCUUUGAUUAAUAAUAAAUAAAUUUCAAGCACUUCUGAGCUGCUCUCUCUCCUCAUUGAAAACAAAAUAUUUUUGAAAAUUAAUAAAUCAGAAGAAUUUUAUGUUUUUUGGAUGUGGAUUUUGGGAAGAGGAAUUAUUCUUACUUUGCGUGAUUGAUAAAAU
rnacentral:lncRNA from 1 species